rfam:Oryza punctata chromosome 2, whole genome shotgun sequence.
ACUGCGGUGAUGAGCCUUAACAUGUAAGAAGGCCCAUAGAUUGCUUUGGUUCUUCUGUGAAAUACUCCUGUUACGCUUGGCUUAUUAGCGGC